GAGGAGCAUUUUCUUAAAAAUCUCUCGAAAAGAUUCUAUUCCACUCCUCGUCUCGUAAGAUGUAAUCUCGUAGGUGAUUGUUUUAACAGUAUAUAAUCUGGGGGAAUCCUGCGCAAUUUCAAAAAAAUGAGUCAUAUGCGGCAACGUUAAGCCUCUCUUUAUCUCGUUUUCCUAUUACGCGAGUCGGAAACGUUGUGUUAUUGUCAUUCCUGUUUGUUUAUCGUCAUAACUGUGUUCAGAUAAGAGGAUAAUCUUAUUUGCCUCGCGCGUUGAUCAUUAAACAGAUUAAAAA